rnacentral:lncRNA from 1 species
AGAAAACCCUGAGAUCUGAAGCUUGAUGUGGCAGAUGGAUUUGACCUCAUAUGCUGUUGUAUGUUCCAUCUCCAGGGAAGUGGAAAUGCUGAAGGACUUCCAGUCACCAGCUUGUCCUGCCUGUGUUACCUGACCCAACCAGAGAUUCAGACACACCCACUGUCUGUAGCUGCGUGCCAAUCCCUGGUACCCUGUGAUCCCACGGCGCUGAGCAUCUUCUUGAAUACCACACCUAUAAUCACAGCCAAUGAGAGGUGCACAAUGCAAUGUUCCAAAGCCAUCAGCAGAGGGCGCCAGAGUACUCAUUUAGUCCCUGAAGGUUGGUUGUUCCUCCUGCAUGCCACCGGUCUUUCUGUUACGCCACAACCACAUCCAGCCCCAC